rnacentral:rRNA from 1 species
AAUCAACGCUGGCGGCGUGCCUCAGACAUGCAAGUCGAACGAUUAAGACUUCCUUCGGGAAGUGUAUAAAGUGGCGCACGGGUGAGUAACACGUAAGUAAUCUGCCUUCGAGUGGGGAAUAACAUCGGGAAACCGAUGCUAAUACCGCAUAAUGCAGCGGCAUCGCAAGAUGACAGUUGUUAAAGGAGCAAUUCGCUUGAAGAGGAGCUUGCGGCAGAUUAGCUAGUUGGUAAGGUAAUGGCUUACCAAGGCUACGAUCUGUAUCCGGUCUAAGAGGACGGUCGGACACACUGACACUGAAUAACGGGUCAGACUCCUACGGGAGGCAGCAGUCGGGAAUUUUGGGCAAUGGGCGAAAGCCUGACCCAGCAACGCCGCGUGAGGGAUGAAGUAUUUCGGUAUAUAAACCUCGAAAGAAUGGGAAGAAUAAAUGACGGUACCAUUUAUAAGCUCCGGCUAACUACGUGCCAGCAGCCGCGGUAAUAC